rnacentral:rRNA from 1 species
AUUGAACGCUGGCGGCAUGCCUUACACAUGCAAGUCGAACGGUAACGGGCCUUCGGGUGCCGACGAGUGGCGAACGGGUGAGUAAUGCAUCGGAACGUACCUUUCAGUGGGGGAUAACGUAGCGAAAGUUACGCUAAUACCGCAUAUUCUGUGAGCAGGAAAGCAGGGGAUCGCAAGACCUUGCGCUGAUUGAGCGGCCGAUGUCAGAUUAGCUAGUUGGUGAGGUAAAGGCUCACCAAGGCGACGAUCUGUAGCGGGUCUGAGAGGAUGAUCCGCCACACUGGAACUGAGACACGGUCCAGACUCCUACGGGAGGCAGCAGUGGGGAAUUUUGGACAAUGGGGGCAACCCUGAUCCAGCCAUGCCGCGUGAGUGAAGAAGGCCUUCGGGUUGUAAAGCUCUUUCGGCCGGGAAGAAAUCGCAUGGGUUAAUACCCUGUGCGGAUGACGGUACCGGCAUAAGAAGCACCGGCUAACUACGUGCCAGCAGCCGAC